rnacentral:rRNA from 1 species
CCUACGGGAGGCAGCAGUAGGGAAUAUUGCUCAAUGGGGGAAACCCUGAAGCAGCAACGCCGCGUGGAGGAUGAAGGUUUUAGGAUUGUAAACUCCUUUUGUGAGAGAAGAUAAUGACGGUAUCCCACGAAUAAGCACCGGCUAACUCCGUGCCAGCAGCCGCGGUAAUACGGAGGGUGCAAGCGUUACUCGGAAUCACUGGGCGUAAAGAGUGCGCAGGCGGGCUUGUAAGUCAGAUGUGAAAUCCUGUAGCUUAACUACAGAACUGCAUUUGAAACUGUGAGUCUAGAGUGUGGGAGAGGUAGGUGGAAUGCUUGGUGUAGGGGUAAAAUGCGUAGAUAUCAAGAGGAAUACUCAUUGCGAAGGCGACCUACUGGAACAUUACUGACGCUCAUGCACGAAAGCGUGGGGAGCAAACAGGAUUAGAUACCCGAGUAGUC